GAUGAACGCUGGCGGCGUGCCUAAUACAUGCAAGUCGAGCGAACAGAUGAGGAGCUUGCUCCUCUGACGUUAGCGGCGGACGGGUGAGUAACACGUGGAUAACCUACCUAUAAGACUGGGAUAACUUCGGGAAACCGGAGCUAAUACCGGAUAAUAUAUUGAACCGCAUGGUUCAAUAGUGAAAGACGGUUUUGCUGUCACUUAUAGAUGGAUCCGCGCCGCAUUAGCUAGUUGGUAAGGUAACGGCUUACCAAGGCAACGAUGCGUAGCCGACCUGAGAGGGUGAUCGGCCACACUGGAACUGAGACACGGUCCAGACUCCUACGGGAGGCAGCAGUAGGGAAUCUUCCGCAAUGGGCGAAAGCCUGACGGAGCAACGCCGCGUGAGUGAUGAAGGUCUUCGGAUCGUAAAACUCUGUUAUUAGGGAAGAACAAACGUGUAAGUAACUAUGCACGUCUUGACGGUACCUAAUCAGAAAGCCACGGCUAACUACGU
rnacentral:rRNA from 1 species